rnacentral:rRNA from 1 species
AUUGAACGCUGGCGGCAGGCCUAACACAUGCAAGUCGAGCGGCAGCGGGAAAGUAGCUUGCUACUUUUGCCGGCGAGCGGCGGACGGGUGAGUAAUGCCUGGGAAAUUGCCCAGUCGAGGGGGAUAACAGUUGGAAACAACUGCUAAUACCGCAUACGCCCUACGGGGGAAAGCAGGGGACCUUCGGGCCUUGCGCGAUUGGAUAUGCCCAGGUGGGAUUAGCUAGUUGGUGAGGUAAUGGCUCACCAAGGCGACGAUCCCUAGCUGGUCUGAGAGGAUGAUCAGCCACACUGGAACUGAGACACGGUCCAGACUCCUACGGGAGGCAGCAGUGGGGAAUAUUGCACAAUGGGGGAAACCCUGAUGCAGCCAUGCCGCGUGUGUGAAGAAGGCCUUCGGGUUGUAAAGCACUUUCAGCGAGGAGGAAAGGUUGAUGCCUAAUACGUAUCAACUGUGACGUUACUCGCAGAAGAAGCACCGGCUAACUCCGUGCCAGCCGCCGCGGUAAAAC